AUUGAACGCUGGCGGAAUGCUUUACACAUGCAAGUCGAACGGCAGCACGGGGGCAACCCUGGUGGCGAGUGGCGAACGGGUGAGUAAUGUAUCGGAACGUGCCCAGUCGUGGGGGAUAACGUAGUGAAAAUUACGCUAAUACCGCAUACGAUCUACGGAUGAAAGCGGGGGAUCGCAAGACCUCGCGCGAUUGGAGCGGCCGAUAUCAGAUUAGGUAGUUGGUGGGGUAAGGGCUCACCAAGCCAACGAUCUGUAGCUGGUCUGAGAGGACGACCAGCCACACUGGAACUGAGACACGGUCCAGACUCCUACGGGAGGCAGCAGUGGGGAAUUUUGGACAAUGGGCGAAAGCCUGAUCCAGCCAUUCCGCGUGCAGGAUGAAGGCCUUCGGGUUGUAAACUGCUUUUGUACGGAGCGAAAAGGCUCUCUCUAAUACAGGGGGCUCAUGACGGUACCGUAAGAAUAAGCACCGGCUAACUACGUGCCAGCCGCCGCCGUAAUAC
rnacentral:rRNA from 1 species